GUAGGGUGCGAGCGUUGUCCGGAAUUAUUGGGCGUAAAGAGCUCGUAGGCGGUGUGUCACGUCGGCCGUGAAAACUUGGGGCUUAACUCUGAGCGUGCGGUCGAUACGGGCAUCACUUGAGUUCGGCAGGGGAGACUGGAAUUCCUGGUGUAGCGGUGAAAUGCGCAGAUAUCAGGAGGAACACCGGUGGCGAAGGCGGGUCUCUGGGCCGAUACUGACGCUGAGGAGCGAAAGCGUGGGGAGCGAACAGGAUUAGAUACCCUGGUAGUCCACGCCGUAAACGUUGGGCGCUAGGUGUGGGGACCAUUCCACGGUUUCUGUGCCGCAGCUAACGCAUUAAGCGCCC
rnacentral:rRNA from 1 species